UACGGCCAUAUCACAUUGAAAUGUCAGUACGCGUUCGAUCACUGAAGUUAAGCAACACUGAACUUGGUGAGUAACUGGUUGGAUAACCGCUUGGGAAUAUCACGUGCUGCAAGC